GACGAACGCUGGCGGCGUGCCUAAUACAUGCAAGUAGAACGCUGAAGAGAGGAGCUUGCUCUUCUUGAAUGAGUUGCGAACGGGUGAGUAACGCGUAGGUAACCUGCCUUGUAGCGGGGGAUAACUAUUGGAAACGAUAGCUAAUACCGCAUAACAAUGGGUGACACAUGUCAUUUAUUUGAAAGGGGCAAUUGCUCCACUACAAGAUGGACCUGCGUUGUAUUAGCUAGUAGGUGAGGUAACGGCUCACCUAGGCGACGAUACAUAGCCGACCUGAGAGGGUGAUCGGCCACACUGGGACUGAGACACGGCCCAGACUCCUACGGGAGGCAGCAGUAGGGAAUCUUCGGCAAUGGGGGCAACCCUGACCGAGCAACGCCGCGUGAGUGAAGAAGGUUUUCGGAUCGUAAAGCUCUGUUGUAAGUCAAGAACGAGUGUGAGAGUGGAAAGUUCACAC
rnacentral:rRNA from 1 species